UCCCUGGAGGACUAGUGGUUAGGUCAUGGUGCUUUCACCGCUGUGGCCCAGGUUCAAUUUCCGGCCAGGGAA